rnacentral:rRNA from 1 species
GACGAACGCUGGCGGCGUGCUUAACACAUGCAAGUCGAACGGAAAGGCCCUGCUUUUGUGGGGUGCUCGAGUGGCGAACGGGUGAGUAACACGUGAGUAACCUGCCCUUGACUUUGGGAUAACUUCAGGAAACUGGGGCUAAUACCGGAUAGGAGCUCCUGCUGCAUGGUGGGGGUUGGAAAGUUUCGGCGGUUGGGGAUGGACUCGCGGCUUAUCAGCUUGUUGGUGGGGUAGUGGCUUACCAAGGCUUUGACGGGUAGCCGGCCUGAGAGGGUGACCGGCCACGUUGGGACUGGAAUACGGCCCAGACUCCUACGGGAGGCAGCAGUGGGGAAUAUUGCACAAUGGGCGGAAGCCUGAUGCAGCAACGCCGCGUGCGGGAUGACGGCCUUCGGGUUGUAAACCGCUUUCGCCUGUGACGAAGCGUGAGUGACGGUAAUGGGUAAAGAAGCACCGGCUAACUACGUG